GUGCAUGUUAAUAUUAUGAGAAUUAUGCUAAGUUGGUAGUUGCAUUGGAAGUAUAUGCAUGUAGCAUUAUAGAAUUACGUAUGUUGAUAGUUGCAUACGGACGCAUCGCAACCAUAUGUUAGUAGAUUAGAUGCAUGUUAAUAUUUAUAUGCAUUGUGGAAUACAUGCUAAGUACAUAUUAGCAAUGUGAGAUCAUGUUAGAGAGCAUGCGUAUUAACCUAUAUUGAUAGGGUAAGCUAAUGUCAUAAAGAGGCAUUGGGUUGGAAUUGGAUUAUUAAGCUAAUGUCAUAAAGCGACAUUGAGUUUGGGACAUGUAUGAACUAGUAAAUAAUGCCAUAAAGAGGCAUGGAAAUUGGAACAUGCUUGGAUAUAGUAAUGUUCUAGUGUCCUAAAGAGGCAUAGACUUAGUGAAUGUUGGAACUUCACUUUGACACAUAGACUAGACCUUGGGGUUAUAGUGGUUUUCUAUGUUAGAGACAUGAUGACGAGAUCCGUGACAUGAUGACUAUGCUUGCUUGCCAUUUGUGCUCAUUCGUACAUGCUUUGUGAGGGUCGCUCCCUACAAGCCGGCACUCCGGAGUUGGCCUUUGCGACGCAGUUCGCUGCGUGCGGGUUGAGACGCCUGUAGGGUCGCGUGGGACAGCCUCAUUCCAGCGUGGGAAGAUGAGCUACCACGGGCAGCUAGGCGGCGAGGCGCUGUAGGUCGUGUGGGACGACUCAUUCUAGCGUGGAAUGAUGGGCUACCACAGGCAGCUAGGCGGCACAAGCCGGACUACAUUUGUGUAGGUCCUAAAAUAAGAUUGAAACAAUACAUUAAAUUGGUGUAUAACAAUCACUACUAAUAGGCUUAGUAGUUGGUUACUUGGACAUGCUUUUGCAUAAUAUUGGACAUUUGGACGUGAUAGUAUUACUUGUUGCAUCAUAGCGAUACUUGCGUAGCCGGUGAUAGAACAUAGUAUGUAUGUAUUGGCAUAUUGGAUUAGGAUAGAGUAGAUGUACUCCAUGUUCUUAUCAUAAUAUACUUGUGGCAUAGCAGUAUAGCAUUUCUUUAUUGCUUAAUUAUUUUGCAGUUGUUAUUUCAUUUUCUAUAUCUGCUCAUGACUUGGGCCUAGUGGUGCAUUUUGCUAAGGUCAGUAAUUGCCCACUGGGAACUAUAAAUUAUAGUUCUCACGCCCCCUGUUUUAUGUUUUCUUUCAGAGCCUUCCACCCCGGGAGAGGCUCGGGAUCGCGGGAAAGGAAUCGCCUCGAGUUAGCUAGCGAGGAAUUCGACGAUAGGUGGUCUACCUCUCUUCUGAGUUUUGUUUGGAGAGGUUGAGAGACUUGUACCCUUUUUGUAGAGACCACCCCCUAUAUGUAGCUUGAGACUCAUAAUGUAUUAUUUUACGUUUUGCCUUGGUGGUUUAGUUUCCCUUGUUUCUACCUGUUGUUAGAACCUAGCUGUAUACUUGCUCUGAUAUCUUUAGAUACACUCUAUUUGUUGUUCAUUUAUUUGCUAUUGUUGUAGACGCCUUAUAUGUGUAGGCAUAUGGCGGGUCUGGACACGCACCGGGCGGGCCUAGGCCGGGUCCCGGGGCGUGACAUAUA
rnacentral:lncRNA from 1 species